CCCUUAGAUGUUCUGGGCCGCACGCGUGCUACACUGAGUGGAUCAGCGGGUCAGGUUGCGCGAAAGCGUUUCCUAAUCUUUAAAUCCGCUCGUGAUGGGGAUUGACGGUUGCAAUUUUCUGUCAUGAACGAGGAAUACCUUGUAAGCGCGGGUCAUCAUCCCGCGCUGAAUACGUCCCUGCCCUUUGUACACACCGCCCGUCGCUCCUACCGAUUUCGAGUGGUCCGGUGAAUCUUUCGGACUGCGCGCGGCCUUGAGUCGUGUCGCGGAAAGUCAGGUAAACCUUAUCACUUAGAGGAAGGAGAAGUCGUAACA
rnacentral:rRNA from 1 species